rnacentral:sRNA from 1 species
GAAUUCAGUGAAUCAUCGAAUCUUUGAACGCACCUUGCGCUCUUUGGUAUUCCGAAGAGCAUGCCUGUUUGAGUGUCAUGAAAAUAUCAACCUUGACUUGGGUUUAGUGCUCUUGUCUUGGCUUGGAUUUGGCUGUUUGCCGCUCGAAAGAGUCGGCUCAGCUUAAAAGUAUUAGCUGGAUCUGUCUUUGAGACUUGGUUUGACUUGGCGUAAUAAGUUAUUUCGCUGAGGACAAUCUUCGGAUUGGCCGAGUUUCUGGGACGUUUGUCCGCUUUCUAAUACAAGUUCUAGCUUGCUAGACAUGACUUUUUUAUUAUCUGGCCUCAAAUCAGGUAGGACUACCCGCUGAACUUAA